GGACACCUGUUCAGGUGAGCUGGGACACCUGCUCAGGUGAGCCAUGGUACCUGCUCAGGGGAGCCUGGGUACCUGCUCAGGUGAGCCAGGUGGCUCCUGGGCAGCUCCAUGUCCCACAGUGUCACCAUCACCAUCAGGGCGGUACCGCCGGCCACGUGUCGUGGCUCGGGUGCCGCGCGCACCUGCGCUCAGGUGU